UGCAGUCGAACGAAUCCCGGCUGCUGUAGCAAUACAGUGGCCGGGGGAAGUGGCGAAAGGGGCAGUAAGGCGUGGGUAACCAACCCCGGGGACCGGGAUAGCCAUCCUAACGGAUGGGUAAUACCGGGCGAUGUGGCCGAGACGCAUGUUUUGGUCAUGAGAUGAAUUUCGCCUCGGGACGGGCUCACGUGGUAUUAGCUAGUUGGUAGGGUGAUGGCCUACCAAGGCCAAGAUGCCUAGCAGGUGUGAGAGCACGACCUGCGCCACUGGCACUGAGACACUGGCCAGACUCCUACGGGAGGCUGCAGUCGAGGAUCUUCGGCAAUGGGCGCAAGCCUGACCGAGCGACGCCGCGUGCGCGAUGAAGGCCUUCGGGUUGUAAAGCGCUGUCGAGGGGGAGAAAACCGCAAGGUUGAUCUAUCCCUGGAGGAAGCACGGGCUAAGUUCGUGCCAGCAGCCGCGGUAAGACGAACCGUGCGAACGUUGUUCGGAAUCACUGGGCUUAAAGGGCGCGUAGGCGGGCUGCCAAGUCCGGGGUGAAAGCUUUCGGCUUAACCGGAAAAGUGCCUUGGAUACUGGCGGUCUUGAGCGAGGUAGGGGCAUGUGGAACUUCCGGUGGAGCGGUGAAAUGCGUUGAUAUCGGAAGGAACGCCGGUGGCGAAAGCGACGUGCUGGACCUCUUCUGACGCUGAGGCGCGAAAGCUAGGGGAGCGAACGGGAUUAGAUACCCCGGUAGUCCUAGCCCUAAACGAUGGGUACUAGUAGUGGACUUGACAUGGGUUCACUGCCGAAGCAAAAGUGGUAAGUACCCCGCCUGGGGAGUAUGGUCGCAAGGCUGAAACUCAAAGGAAUUGACGGGGGCUCACACAAGCGG
rnacentral:rRNA from 1 species